AUCCUAUAGCGAUCAGCCUGUUGGUUGUUGCCCACUUGCCCUGUUCGCCUCGCCUAUUCCAUUCCACGCUGCCGCCGCCUGUUCGUCUGCCUGGCGACUGCGCUCCCGCGUUGGACUCCUGGGCUCCUAGUCCUAGCGGCUGCCGGCUCCGAUUAGCCGAUCAGCCGGCCGGCGAUCCCUCCCUGCCCCUAUGUCACUGCGUGGCCUCUGCCUCCCAGUUCAUCCACUCGACCACGACCAGUCUGCAGUCCGGGCGUCCGGCAGAGCGGCAGUUCUCUGCCGCAGUUCAAGUUCACAGAAUCACAGUUGCCUGGUCGCCUGCCUGCCAAGUUAUAAGAUUUGAAGAACUCAUGAUGUUCAAAGAUAUAUUUGGUUUUUUAUUGAGAUCAACUAUCCUGAAGUCAUUGAAUGAUACUGAACUAGAAGAGUCUUGCACCAAACUUGCAGACACUUUCUCUCAUAAUGGUUCAUCCGAUGUUGAGGUACAUGAUCUUAUUUCUGAAUUGAAGAUUUUGAAAUUUACUCUACCAGAUGGCAUAUUGUCUGCUAUGGAAAUAUUCGAGCAUGUCAGAGAUUUAGAUUGCUAUCCUAAUGUCUCAAUCGCUUAUCGAAUAUUAUUUACUAUGCCUAUGACGGUUGCAUCAGCUAAGAGAAGCUUUUCAAAAGUGAAAUUAUUGAAGAACUAUUUGAGAUCAACAAUGACUCAAGAUAGAUUAAAUGGUUUGGCAAUUUUGUGCAUUGAGAAGAAGUUGUUGGAUGAGAUUGAUCUUAAUGGUAUAAUCGACGACUUUGUAUCACAAAAUGUUAGAAGAAAUUUUUAGAAUGAUAUUAUGUGACAUGUGACAAGUAAGUAUUAUGGUUCUAAUUUAUAUUUGUUAUCUUAUAAACUUUAAGGCAUAGCAUAUAAGUUUUUUCCAUUGAAUGUUCAAUAAUUUAUGCUUAUAAUUAAAUAUAUAUAGUGUAUAUACAUGGUGGAUGGGGCCUCCAUAUUAGAUUUCGCCCCAGGCCCCCAAAAAGUCAGGAACGGCCCUGACCUUAGCCGCUGGUAAUCCAUGUUGUCAUAAGUAUGCGUAAUUUCCACUUUCCUGCUCAAUUAUUGAGGCGAACAAUGUUCACUCGUGCAUCAAGUCCCGGCGGCCAAUUUUGCUGCUGGUUCAAGUUUGACCAGUUGCGGAACCAGCAGCAACAAAGAUCCAGCCUGUCCAUUCAGUUGCCAAUUGCAGUAUGAACUGUGUACCUUCCACACUUGCUCAAAGGUCACAUGAAACAUGUCGUAUCACCUUUCAUGGUUCUCAAAGGUCACCGAUAGAGCAAGCACAAGUGGACGGAGAAAACUCUCAGCAGAGAGAGAGAGAGGGGCACCAGAGUAACAGUAGCAUAUGAAUACGAUACAACAAUACUGCGAAUCUCUCAGCAGUUUCAGUACAGAGUCGAAAAGGGGGGAAAAAGAAAGAAAGAUAUCGGACGACCAAA